GACGAACGCUGGCGGCGUGCUUUAGGCAUGCAAGUCGAACGCGAAAGCCCCUUCGUGGGUGAGUAGAGUGGCGAACGGGUGAGUAACACGUGGGUAACCUGCCCCUCGCAGGGGGAUAACCGGGGGAAACCCCGGCUAAUACCCCGUACGCUUGCUGGGGCGCAUGCUCCGGCAAGGAAAGGUAGCUUCGGCCAUCCGGCGAUGGAGGUGCCCGCGGCCCAUUAGCUAGUUGGGGGGGUAACGGCCCACCAAGGCGAAGAUGGGUAGCUGGCCUGAGGGGGUGGUCAGCCAACCGGGGACUGAGACACGGCCCAGACCCCUACGGGAGGCAGCAGCCAGGAAUCUUGCGAAAGGGGCGAAAGCCUGACGAAGAAACGCCGCGUGGGCGAUGAAGGCCUUCGGGUCGUAAAGCCCUGUUGUCGGGGAAGAAGGGCGAAGGGUUAAUAGCCCCUAGCCUGACGGUACCCGACGAGGAAGCCCCGGCUAACUACGUG
rnacentral:rRNA from 1 species